rnacentral:rRNA from 1 species
AUGGAUUGUUGGAGCAUGCACCUGCCGGCCGAGGACUCUCUGUCCGGCCUGUACGACGACUCGACGAGCUCGCCUGACGGCGCCACCUCGCGGCCGACGAAGGUCACCAGCUUGGAGAGGAGGAAGAUAAUCAACGAGAGACACCGGCGCAGGAGGCUCAACGAGAAGCUAUACGCCAUCCGCCGUGUCGUUCCAAACAUCACCAAGGCGUUAGAUGGACAAGGCGUCCAUCAUCCAGGACGCCAUCGCCUACAUCGAGGAGCGGCGGAUUCUCGCCGCCCUACAGCUGCGCAGCCACGGUCAUGGCGGAGGCCGCCGCCUCGACCGGCAGCGAGGAGCUGGACGUUGGCGUCACUACCCCAAACAGACUUUUUCGUGACGGCCAGACACGUUGGUGACGGCCGCGAUACCUCCUUCAGGAAUGUGUACGUGUUCCUGACGUGGAUGGGUGUUUUUCGCUCUCAACUGGAGGGCUCGGUCAAAAUACCUAAAACACGAUCCACUUUUCCCCAUCGAGAUACUCCUCCCACUCCCACGAUGACCGCCACCUCCCCCAUCCAGCGCCGCCACCUCCCCCGUCCAGCACCGCCACUUCCCCCGUACCGGCCGUCCAGUUCCGAUCGGCCGCCUCCCUCGCCGUCGAGCGCCGCCCCCCUCGCCGUCGAGCGCCACUCCGACUCGCCGGCGACUUCCAGAUCCGCCUCCCUCCCCGUGCAGAGUACUUGUGAUAAAUUCGCUAUGUUUCUGGAGUGGCUCAUGAUCAUUUAUUCAGACCAAAAGCGUGUUGGGAAAGAUAUCUGUAACUAUGGAAGGAUGACCAUGGGGAGGGGGUCAAGUAACUAUGGAAGGAUGACCAUGGGGAGGGAUUGCUCCUUUAUUCAGAGCCUUUUUGCAGCACAAUUUAAACUUUCUACCUCCUCCAACGACGAUGCUGCUCUUCCCCAACGACAGCUUGCUGCUGAACUCUGUCAACACCCGCUGCUGAUCGUCUCUUGCAUCUACAUGUUGCUGUUCUUCUCCAUCUUCAAAGCCACGAAAAGCAGAAUGGCCUAUGGCAGCAACAAAGAUGAACACUUGCAAGUUCAUGAAGUUGGAAGUUUGCAAAUGUGGUUGAGAGUGGAGAUUGUGGCCCCAUCAAUAAUGUACUUGGGGCCACCGUUCUCCUCACCAGACCCUUGGGUGGGCGAAGGCCCUCAAGCACCUCCACUUGAACUUCUGCCUGUACUUGGCAAUAAGAGAAGUCUUCUUCACUUGCUUGGUGGCAGUUUUGAAAACCUGUAUGUGAAUGGAACCUUCCAAGCCCAAGGGAAUGCUGAUACUUCGUUGGCAGAAUGUUCCCAUGAUGAAGACCAUCCUCAUGCUACUCAUGCGGAUGAGCAUAGUUCUAUUCCAACACAGGACAAACAUUUAGGAAUUCCAGUAGUAUAA